rnacentral:rRNA from 1 species
AUGCUUAAUGACGGAAUCAAUACAUGUGACCUAUUGAUCCGAAAGAGCAUGCAUCUUGACUCCACGACAUGUGUCCUAUGCAAUGACGAAGAUAUGGAAGACAAGACUCAUCUACUAUUCACUUGCCCAUUUAGUCAAGGAUUAUGGUGGAACAUUGGUUUUGAACGGAACCUUGAUUUGGAUAUCCACAAUAUGAUUAUGGAUGCUCAACACAGAUACAAAAUUAAUCACUUCAUGGAAAUCAUGAUAUUAGGAUGCUGGCGUAUCUGGAAUCAAAGAAAUGGAAAGAUAUUUGAAGGAAUACCAUGCUUAGUAAAUGAAUGCAAGGAAGAUUUUAUCAGAACUUUCAAGUUAACCAUGAUGAGAGCGAGACCAACUCUGAAGGAGGGCAUGUCGUCCUGGAUUGAAAACAUCUAA